GCAGUCGUGGUUGAGUGGUUAAGGCGAUGGACAAGAAAUCCAUUGGGGUCUCCCCCCGCAAAGGUUCGAAUCCAGUCGACAGCA
rnacentral:tRNA from 2 species